rnacentral:rRNA from 1 species
AUUGAACGCUGGCGGCAUGCCUUACACAUGCAAGUCGAACGGUAACGGGCCUUCGGGUGCCGACGAGUGGCGAACGGGUGAGUAAUACAUCGGAACGUGCCCGAUCGUGGGGGAUAACGAGGCGAAAGCUUUGCUAAUACCGCAUACGAUCUACGGAUGAAAGCAGGGGACCGCAAGGCCUUGCGCGGACGGAGCGGCCGAUGGCAGAUUAGGUAGUUGGUGGGAUAAAAGCUUACCAAGCCGACGAUCUGUAGCUGGUCUGUGAGGAUGAUCAGCCACACUGGGACUGAGACACGGCCCAGACUCCUACGGGAGGCAGCAGUGGGGAAUUUUGGACAAUGGGCGCAAGCCUGAUCCAGCCAUGCCGCGUGCAGGAUGAAGGCCUUCGGGUUGUAAACUGCUUUUGUACGGAACGAAAAGCCUUCUUUUAAUACAGGAGGGUCAUGACGGUACCGUAAGAAUAAGCACCGGCUAACUACGUG